AUUGAACGCUGGCGGAAUGCUUUACACAUGCAAGUCGAACGGUAGAGGGGGCAACCCCUUGAGAGUGGCGAACGGGUGAGUAAUAUAUCGGAACGUGCCCAGUCGUGGGGAUAACGUAGCGAAAGCUACGCUAAUACCGCAUACGAUCUAUGGAUGAAAGCGGGGGAUCGCAAGACCUCGCGCGAUUGGAGCGGCCGAUAUCAGAUUAGGUAGUUGGUGAGGUAAAGGCUCACCAAGCCGACGAUCUGUAGCUGGUCUGAGAGGACGACCAGCCACACUGGGACUGAGACACGGCCCCAGACUCCUACGGGGGGCAGCAGUGGGGAAUUUUGGACAAUGGGCGCAAGCCUGAUCCAGCAAUGCCGCGUGCAGGAUGAAGGCC
rnacentral:rRNA from 1 species